rnacentral:lncRNA from 1 species
UACAGUUAAUACUUCUAUUCCUAAGGUUUCAUUACCUUAUAUAUGCUAAAUCAUAGAAAUAUAUAAAUAUAUUUAUAUAUAUAUAUUUUUUAAAUAUGAGUAACAGAUCUUGAGUUUAAGUUAAAAAGAAAAUAAAAUUUUUAAAAUUUUUUGUUUCAGUUUUCCUGAAAUGUUUUGGCGGAAAUGUUGGCGCUAAAAGUUUUAGUACUUAAGCGACGAAAAGUUAUACUUUCGUCGGGUAAGUAAUUAAUUAUUUAAAAAUAAUUCCGUCGUCUAAAUAUAUAUUUCCGUCAUUUAAGAGGUUCUUAGACCACGGAAUACAUUUUCGUCGCCUAAGUCUAACUUAGGCUACGAAACUGUUUUCCGUCGUCUAAGUCCCACUUAGGCUACGAAAUUAAUAUAAUUCUGUCGCCUAGAUUCUUUUUUCCAGUAGCGACUAGUAAUGAUCUUCCCCUACUUUUUUACUUCACUUUUUUUAGCUUUGUAAACUGUUCUAAUUUCUUUUGUUGUUGAGAUUUUUUUUUUGGCUUACUAGCUAGCUCGGAUGCCCCUUUUUCAUUGGGAACUAUAUAUUGAAUUGGUGUGUGAUAUUUCUCUGAUCUUAUCAGAUGAUCUUGACAUUUUUCUUUAUUUAGCUAGUUUUUUUUUUCCCAAUUAUGUAUUGCCAAGAGGUUGCUGUCAUAUAGCUAUUAUUAUACCCUUUUUCAUGUUUAAUGUUUAGGCAACUUUAUAGUACAUUGGUAAGUUUGUCUGAAACUAAUAAUCAAG